rnacentral:lncRNA from 1 species
AUUAUGAACACAUAUAUAAACAACUGAAUUUUUUUUUUUUUUUACAAAGAUGCCAAAGGCCAUGCAGUGUUUUCACUCUAGGUGAAAAGGAGUAAUUAAAACUAUAAGAAAAGGAGUUCCCAUUGUGGUGCAGCAGGAAUAAAGGGAAUGAACCCAACUAGUAUCCACGAGGACUUGGGUUCAAUCCCUGGCCAGAUCCUGGUAGGUUGCAGACACAGCUCACAUCUGGCAUUGCUGUGGUGUAGGCCAGCAGCUGCAGCUCCAAUUGGACCUCUAGACUGGGAACAUCCAUGUGCCACAGGUGCAGCCCUUUUAAAAAAAAAAACAAAAAACACAACAACCACCUACAAGAAAAGAUAUUCUCCAGAUACAAACUGGAGACAACCCAAAUGCCUGUGAAAGAUGGCAUUAUGUAAAAAAAAAAAAAAAAAAAAAAAAAUCAGCUACUGAUCUAAUGACCCUUAGAAUAACUAUGCUGUGUUAAAGCAGCAGACAAAUUAAAAAGUAUAUACUACAUGAUCUUUUAUGUGAAACUCCAGAAAAUGCAAUCUAGAGUGACAGACUGCAGACCAGCUCUUGCUUGGAGCCAUGAGGAUGAGAAGGGACGGUUGGGAGGGAAGCACUAGAAGGGGACAGAAGGGGUGACUCCUGUGUUCACUGUCUUGACUGCCAGAUGCCUUCCCAGGUAUAUACUUAGGUCAAAACUUGUCAAAUUGCGUACUUUAAAUAUGUGCAGUUUAAGCCAGUUAUACCUCAGCAAAACUUUUAAUGAGACUGACACACUGCCAACCAUGCUAAGAGGGCAGGCUAUACAACUAUUUUUAAAAACAAGAAACAACCUAAUAAGUUCCCAGAACUAAAAUGAAAAGACUGCACAUUGAAAAGCCCUGUUGACUACUAAGCAAGAUAGAAAAGGAAAACCCAGAGCAUGUAAAAAUAUGGUGAAUUCUAAGAAUCACAGAUAUGAAAACUCUAAAAGCUCCUAGAGAAAAAGCACAGAUCACCAGUAAUGUUAAGAAUAAGACUGAUGUUAAGAUUUUCAGCAGUAGCAGUUGGGCAAGAGGAUAAUGGAGCAAUACUUCAAAAGUACGAGCUGAGUAUCCUCAAAAAUUUUUAAAUAGGACUUUCGUAUGGUCCAGCAGUCCCACUUCUGGGCAUAUAUCUAAAAGACAUGACACCAUUAUCUGGGAGAGGUAAACACGCCCACGUUCACUGCAGCAUUCUUCACGCUAGUCAGGAUAUGGCAACAGCCUAAGUGGCCGUCGAUGGAUGAACGCACAAAGAAAAUGUUGUGUAUGUACGCAAUGACAUGUUAUCCAGCCAUAAAAAAAGGAGAUCCUGCCAUUUAUAACAGCAACGAUGAACCUAGAGGACAUUAUGCUAAGUGAGAUAAGCCAGACAAAAAAAGAGGAAUACUGUAUCAACUCACGUUGUGAAAUCAUUUAAAAAAAAAAAAAAGAUUAAGCUCAUAGAAACAGAAAAACCAUGAUUGCCAGGGGGAGCUGGGGGUGGAGGAAAUGGAGAGAUGUUGGUCAAGGUGUGCAGAUUCUAAUUUAUGAUGUGAGUAAAUUCUGGGGACCUAAUGCACAGCAUUGUGACUAUAGUUAAUAAUAUACACUUGAAAUUUCAUGAUUUGGACAAGAUCUUUGUGUUCAGCAUAAAUUAAUCUAAAAUAGAGCCAACACCUUUGAGAAAACAAAAAAAUGUAUUCCUGAAAGUAAAACCAACAUCUGAAGAUAGAGCAGUAUUCACCAAUAAGGUGAAGGAUGGCAAUUCUUUCCAAAUUAAUCUAUGUUCAGUGGCAUCCUGCCCUCCCUCGUGUGCACCGAAACUUAAGGUGUUUCUCUGAGAGCCCUACACGACCUUGCAUUCUGGCAGCUUCUACUUUCUAUUAAUGACGGGUGUGUCAUGUCUCUCCAAUUUAGACAGUAAAUUUGAUUGUUUUUCUGGUUUGUUAUUCUACAUCCAGUCAACCUAUAAUCUUAAUCUAAUGUAGAGAGAAGACAGUUCCCUCUCCAUAUAACUCUUUCCUGGAUAGGGGCGGAAGGUUGGGCAGGGAACUCUUCAGGACCUUCUUCUGAGCAAACCCAUCCAUUGAUUCAUUCAUUCUAAUCACUGAUAAGUGAUUUAACCUGUUCAACUAUUCUUUCUUCUAUCCCUUCAUUCAGACAACUUAAGUGGCAAAAUUUUAUCAGCACACCAUUUGGUAUCCUAAACCUGGAGGUACAACCAAAGGAGUACAGGGAGAGGGGGGACGAAUGUUGGCUAAAGGUAAGACUUCCUUAGAAGCCCAUGGGGGAGCUCCUCUCCUGUCCCCUGAGGGGCCCCCGUUACUCUGAGCAGUUGCCGUGUGAGCUGUGACAGCUUAUUGCUUGUCAGUUACCUGGGCAUGGAGCACUUGUCACCUCCCUCUCCAACAUCCAGGGGUCCUUCCCUUGCCUCAAAGAGGACAUCCCUUCUCCCUUAAACAUCCAGUGUCCUGAAAAAGAUAAAUAACCUUGACCAUGCUGUGGUUAUUACAGAAUUUAGACCUACACUUUGGGUGAUAAUGAACCUCCUUAUCACCUCAACUGUUUU